CGGACGGGUGAGUAACACGCGGAUAACCUACCUAUAAGACUGGGAUAACUUCGGGAAACCGGAGCUAAUACCGGAUAAUAUAUUGAACCGCAUGGUUCAAUAGUGAAAGACGGUUUUGCUGUCACUUAUAGAUGGAUCCGCGCUGCAUUAGCUAGUUGGUAAGGUAACGGCUUACCAAGGCAACGAUGCGUAGCCGACCUGAGAGGGUGAUCGGCCACACUGGAACUGAGACACGGUCCAGACUCCUACGGGAGGCAGCAGCC
rnacentral:rRNA from 1 species